AUUGAACGCUGGCGGCAUGCUUUACACAUGCAAGUCGAACGGCAGCGCGGGCUUCGGCCUGGCGGCGAGUGGCGAACGGGUGAGUAAUACAUCGGAACGUGCCCAGUAGUGGGGGAUAGCUCGGCGAAAGCCGGAUUAAUACCGCAUACGACCUGAGGGUGAAAGCGGGGGAUCUUCGGACCUUGCGCUCUUGGAGCGUCCGAUGGCAGAUUAGCUAGUUGGUGGGGUAAAGGCCUACCAAGGCGACGAUCUGUAGCUGGUCUGAGAGGACGACCAGCCACACUGGGACUGAGACACGGCCCAGACUCCUACGGGAGGCAGCAGUGGGGAAUUUUGGACAAUGGGCGAAAGCCUGAUCCAGCAAUGCCGCGUGUGUGAUGAAGGCCUUCGGGUUGUAAAGCACUUUUGGCGGGAACGAAAAGGACUGUGCCAAUACCACGGUUCGAUGACGGUACCCGAAGAAUAAGCACCGGCUAACUACGUG
rnacentral:rRNA from 1 species